ACCAUCCUGCGAACAGAAGACGACGGAGCUAUCAUUCGCAAUUGCUUCGCCGUUCCACGUGCCGGAUCCCAUACCCAUCCUCCACCGAGGAGGCGAUCAAUUUUCUAACCCUUUCGCUCCGACGCGUUUCUCGCUAAAUCUCUGUUCGUUUGCCCGGAUUAUAACUUAGCGAAAUCGUUACCUUUCGGAUCCCCGAUAAUUACGCAAACCUUGCACCCAACCGACAUAUCGAAAAGCUCCCCUUUUGUUAGAAAAGCAUACGUAUAAGCUCUUCGGUGCGAAAGGGUUAGUUUCAACGUAAUUCCUUUAUUACAAUUAUUUUUGUUUUAGAAAAACAGCGGCGGACCUUGGCAUGAAAAGCGGUCAGCAGGUAUAUGAUGGAGUUUUUCAGAUGCAAGGUAACGUUACGAACAAAUAUGGUAUGGAAUUUUUUAAUCGAUGCGACUGGAUUGCGUAAAAUAUGCAAGAUGGAUAAUGAUGUUUGUUUUAUUAGAUAGGUAUUAGAGUGGUACAAAAGGGAAACGUUUGGCGCCAUCGAUUCGCUAUUUGCAGUCCUUUCUACUUUAAGCACUUUAUUUAUAGUUGUUUCUUUUUUAACAAGGCGGUGUCAAUUAUGGCAAGUGCUUUAUGAAGAUUGAUUCUAUUUUCCGCGUAAAAUCCCACGGGUUUAAAUUAUCCUUGUAAGUUCUCAAGCGCAAUCUUCGAAUCGGUUUAAGCAUAAUUAACACUUUGCAUACCGAGCCAACUUUACGUAACUUGUCCACGAUGUAGCGCCCGAAUGAAAUGUUUAUCAUCCGAAGCACAUCCUGACGUUACAUAAAACUAUGAGAGGAUACUUUGCAUCUAACUUACUAAGGAUAUAAACAAAUGACAAAGCAUCUCUAAAUCGUUUAUUUUCAGAAUCAAAUUUUAACAAUCGAGAAGAAAUAAUUACUUUCAAAAUUUUCCAAUCGACCUGGCGUCGCAAAGAACAGUAAACGACACCACGCAUCGUAAGAGUAUUAAUUUAAAUGCAGAUCAAGCAUGAUUAUUUAUAGACGGGAUACGGUUCGUUCGAUGAAUUUCAAGCCACGACGAUACCUUGCUUUCUCGUCGAUCGAUAGAAUGCGAUUCUAACCGGAAAUCUUUCUGAUCGAAAGGAAAUCUCCUUUUUUUUUUUCUUUUUCCCAUCUGGUCUCGAAGCAAAAAUCAGGCCAGGCGAAUUUAUUGUUCACGUCGCGUCGGUCGUUCGAUAAAACGUUCGAGCAGUCCACGUUUAACCGGAUCGUUGACGCUCAACGAUGCAGCCAACAUAACACGUUCUACUUUUAGUUAUCAUCGGCCGUCGAGCAAAAGGUUAUCGUGUUAAGGGUACUCGACGGGGCGCGUUUUAAAGGCAGCACCAGGCUUCGCUGAAAUCCUGGAUGGGCGAGGCACACCAGAUAUACAAUAUCCGCAGGAAGUUUCCGGAAAGUGCAGAGACAUUCACCGGUGAUAAUACCCAGGGAUGACGAGUAGAAACGCCGCCAGCUAUUAAACUUCAACGGAUAUAAAAGAACGCGUUAUAACGACCAGGGGGUAGAAAAGAUAUUUUUCACGACCUAAAUCACUUCUGCAUAAAAAGGAUUUUAUUCAAUAUUUCUCGAACUUAUAAAAUAAUAGGUACAAAAUGUAAUUUCUUCGAGCGAUCGUCUCGGCUUUAAUCAUACGACUCUCGUUAAAUGCAACCGGAAAUCGUUGAAAGACCCCACCGCGUUAUCCGACUACGGUUCAAGUUUAAUUAACUUCCAGGCAGGAUCUCGUUCGUAACAAUUAACGCGGCCCGUGCUUAAAAUGCUGAUUUAUCUUAACACGCGAGUAAAACUCGUGCCUCCUCGCGUCAAAAGAAUCUCCUCUUCGUUCAUCGCGAAACGUGAAAUGUGCAACAAGAAAUGCAACGCGUGGGUGGUACGGAGAUAAGAGGCUCCUUGUAGGCGGAUCUCGCGUUCUGCGUCGAAUAGAACGAUAAAUCCCGCGUAGAUAAUUCUACGUCCGUGUUGGAGACGAAGCUAGAACAGCAUUGGGCGUUAGUCGAGUAACAAAGAACAAAUAGAACUCGAUUCGUUCGGUCGUUUCAAUUUCUUCAAGUGCAUCUAGUAAGUGAACAUUAUGCUGACUGAAAAUUAAGUCUUACGUAAUCUUUUGCAAAUGUUUGUGCGUAUUGCUGAUAUUUUAGGAUCAUAUUUAAAAUUUCCCAUUAUGGAAGUAAAUAUAGUUAUUUAGCCUCUUGGGGGACGUUAUCUGUACAUUUAUUUUCAAUGUCACUUGUAGAAGGUAAACAGAUAUCUUACAAGUAUUGUGUCCUAUAUUCAUAGAGAUUAUUCAACGACAGCGUUCUGUCCUAGAAUUUAAAUAUAAUAGUCAAAAGAAUGCUACUUAAGUUGCACACAAAUAACUUCGAAUUUUAUAUUCCUACUAAAAUUCCAUUUUGGACCCCAUAAAACUAACGGUAAUAUCCUUUUACAAACACGAAAAGGAAAUUUAAAGAACAAUGUCCGGGUCCUCUUUUAUGGGGUCGUUUCACGAAAAACUCGGAACCUGACUCGGUAAGCAGCCGAACGAACCUUUACAACCUUGGUGUCGCCGCGUUCCAGACCGACGACCCUUUUGACCCAGCUGAAUAAUCAUUCCAUGGGCGAGUCCCCGUACCGCGUGACGGAACCUCCCAUAAGACCCGGCACAAUUACCUUCUAACUCUUUACAAUAGCCUUCACGGGUCCGUUUUUAUUCUUUCUGUAAUUUCGCCCAGUAAAUCGAGGUAUUUAUCCUAGCAGAUAACAGAUACCAAAUUACAGACGAGUACAUUUAAAUCCCGCCUGGCUAUAAAUCAGCAAGAAAUUAAUUUCAACAUCUACAAUCUCUUUCGUAGCUCCGUUUUCUCGAAGGCCGAUCGCAAACGGUCGGUUGCUAAGCGAGGAAAUAUUUGCCUCCCUUUCAAGCGUUUCCUGAAAAAUCAUGCGUCAAUUGCAUUUCCAUUUCCCGACCGUGGGUGUUCGAUUCACUUCGCGUCGAAUUACUUCCAACAAUGAAGAAUAAAAUAGUGACUCAAGUUCGAGGAUGUUCCUGAAAUAGAAUCUCCUUGAUUCCUUUCAACUCGAACGCUUCUAUCUAGUCUGGAAAUUGGGUCAUUUUUUACCUACUUCGUCGACUGCUCGCUUAAAUCGCAAUUCCAUAUUACGAAAUGAUUGCUCCGCGAGCGUGCUGAACGAUGUACACAUCGCUUCCUGUUUUCACAAAAGAAGAAAUCAACGUUAAAGUACGUACACGUAAAUUGUCAGUAAUGUAAGUAUUAAGGUACACUUCUAAAAUAUUGAUGAUCGUGUGAAUUCAUUCGUACGCUUAGAAUGUUGCAUUUGGUAGAUUGAAUAAUAUGCAGAUUAUAAAUGACCCAGUUUCCACGUUGUGGCUGAUAUUUUCCAAUGCCUUCGUCCUUCGGAAGUUAAUUCAUUUCCGGUACGAUAAACAGAAUCCGCGGGAAAUAAUUUUUCUAACUUUCGACAGGCAGGAUGAAAUAUCUACAGUAUAAAUAGAAAACGAAGAAAUAAAUAUUUUCAAACUCGUAACAAAUUUCCAAUGAAACAAUGUACCGAAACUAUUAAUAAUCCGGCCAGGUAUUACGAAAAUAAAUAACACAGCGAAUCAAAUCUUCAUUUACUUUCUUUUCCUACUUUACGAGUUUUCUUUACUUUUCGAUGGAACGUGUUUAAUUUCAGUUGGCAACAGUACUAAGGAAAACGUAAUUUCUUAUCGAGCCAUAAAAACCCAAGAAAUGUUAAUCACGCUCGUCCAGCUUGGUAUUUUAUGUAUCUCAACCGAGUUACUUCAUUGGACACCGCAAAAGAUAACGUAACGUAUGAUUAACGAGUCACGGUCAUCCUUUUUUUUAAAAAACACAUUGCGUAAAGUAUAAUUAAUUAAUACCCAAAAUAAUCCACGUAUUAUCUGCGACUUUGAUACGAUUUUCUUCGAAGAGAGAGGCAAACACAUCAAAUUAAUCGGCUCGAUGCAAAGGGCAAUUCGAGGGAGGGAUAUGAACAGGAAUAAACGCGAUGACUCGAGGUUAUAAUUAACGACGAGCAGUAGUCAACAAAGAAAUUAUUGUCUAUCGAUGAGAGGCUUCCCGCCAGGGUCCCUGAACGAUAGCCACGCGGCUGAUCUAAGACACAGCGAAGGCGUUUCAUCGAAGGUGGCUUAGAGGAAGACUUAGAACUGCAACAAUAUAAAAGCAACAGUUAUACGAACGAGUAAGAAUAUUAGAAAAACGAGUUGUAACCUUCUAACGCGACAAACGAUACACAUGCAUUAUAGCAUGUUCGGUGCAUCAAUUGCAGCAGAUAAGUCGCACGUGUAUGAUCGAACGAGCAAUAUUUCCAGGGGCAAGUUAACGUCUUAACGGAAAGGUCAACUAAUUCUUCGUGGAAAAACCGAACAAAGCAUCGCAGCCAAUUGUUCCCAAGCUUGGCUCGGGAUAUCCUCUUUUCAUCGGCAUUGCUCGAUGCGAACAUUCUCGAAAUUGAAACCGUACGUUUCGUUCGUAACUGCAGCUUGCUUUUACUGUAAUCGGUCAGAGAAAACUGCAUUCCUUAGAAAUGAGUAUCUUUAUCGGACAUCGAAGUCGAAACAACUGACGCACACGAGCGGGUCUUCGAAAAUAUUCAUCGACGCUCGUUAAAAGAAUAUUAAAUCGUUGUAAACUGAUUGUUUAUUAUCGAUUAGCUGUUACAGAUACGUUAGGUGCGCUUGGUUAUAAACGUAUUAGACACUUUGGCAACAAGAUAACAAAGCGUGGGAUGAUAGGAUCGUGUGUACUUUGAAAGCGUGUAGGAGUCGGAAUUUGUACACGUGCGUCACUUGAAAAUGAUUUUAAAUUAAUGAUUGAUCGAUACAAGAAUUGUGAGUUAUCUAAUAAAUAUGACUCGAAAAGGUGUUCGUAAUGAAUUACAUAAUUAUGGAUCAAAUUCGAGACGACGAUGAGAUGAUUUGAAAUAAGCUCGUCUGUUUCUUUGAAAAUCAACGUGUAACGCCUGAAUUACCUUCGAGUGUCGAGUUCAGCGUUUAAUGGAACGUCAAUUACACUCCUCUCCGAACAGCUUCUCAAUUGCAGCAUCUCAUUUUCAUCGUUACGUGAACCACCGAACAACCGAGCCUCGCCUAUUUUCGCAUGCAACUUCUUUCGCACGGCCUCCAUCGGUACAACACUCGAGCCCAAUUUGUUUCAUCUACGACACCCGUCACAAAUCAUCCUCCGAAACAAUUUCAGCACGUGGACCAGUCUGAUCGGUGAUUCGAUCGUGCCUAAUCAAGGGAAUCGGGAGAAAGGUAUUUAACAGUUUGAUGAUCGUUGCCGCGUAUUCGCGACUUUGAUAUGAAAUGAAUAUUCUUUAGAAUGGCACUAGGAGUCGAUCAAAAUGAAACUUGGUGGGCGUUAGAAGAUCAGAGGGAAAAUUUUUAAUCUCAGCUUCGAAAAUGUAAAUAAUCGUACAGUGAACAAUCGAACGCUUGCACAUAUCAAAUCGAAAUUAAAAAAAAAGAUAAGAUUAGAUAAAUUAGUAAAUCCUAAAGAAUGUGCUAAUUGCCGAAGCUGAGAUUCACUCCAAUUACUUUUCAUACCUAUCUGAACAAUUUCACCAAGUUUCGAAUGGCCAGUAGUCCCAUUCGAAAGUACAAUGAAAAAACUAUGAAAUCAUUAGAAGCGUUGAUCAUUCAACCGUCAAAAUGUUAACACAAGUUUUUCGCAAAUACAUAUACUCUGGCAACAGAACAUUAAAAGAACACUGCAGCUCGAUAAUGCGCGAACACGAUACCAAAUGCAACUGUAUGUACACACGAUUCUAUUUACCGUGCAACGGAGUUAUCAGCUCGAAUAACAAUCGUGUCGAUGUUGCGAACAGUGACUUCAAAUUUCCAGGAAUUAGUAUUAUCAAACGGAACGCGUUUGAAACGCACACCUUGGACGUUUGCUAGCAAAAAUUCGAGCUGUUGGAAAAGAGAAGAAAGGCAAUUACCGCGAAACUAUAGAGCGAGGGAAAUAAUUCUACGAGUAAUCCGGCAUCGAGAACGAAAACAAUGCAAGACUAUGAAUAUUUAUCGCGACCCCACUCGUGAAUAAUCGCGGCGCUUUUCACAGCGAUAAAAUGAGCCAUAUAUGAGGUGCAGGGUAGGCUAACUUUGUCCCGGUGCAAUUAACUUUUAUCGUUCCUCGAUUUACGGGUUAAGGAGACGAAGUUUUUCUCUUUCUAAAACGAUAGGAAAGAUCCGUUUACCGUACUCGUAUAAAAUACUACAGCGAGGAAAAAUGAAAUAGCGGGAUAUGCAAAUGAAUUACAUUCUUUAGUUAUAUUCUAGCCUGCAUCUUUGAGACACCCUAUGGAAUGCGAUUCCACAAAGAACGAAUGACAAAUGGGAAAUGCAUCCAUUCUCGUGGAAGGAGAAAACGUCAUCGUGAUGACGACUGUUAGAAUAGAUGCAUUUACGUCACGAAUAAGCGGCUCAGACAACUCGUGACUCAUUUCCUCUUUCCUCCUAACUGAUUCACUUCACCUACGACGCGUUAGACGAAUCUUCGACCAUAGAUUCAAUUUGAUUCGAUGAAUCGUCUCGCACUUGGAACUCGUGCACGAGUCUUACACGUUUCAAACUUACAAUCCUCUUAUAUCGACACGUAAGACUAUACCUCCCGUAGUAUCCGAUUUUUAUCUACAAUAUUUAUAAAUAUCUUAUAAAUAAUCUAUACCGCGGAAUAGUAGAGAUUGCGUGCCAUGGCUCGUGUUAUCGAUUCUGUUAACUCCGUGACCCACACUGUCCCUACAAAAUUUGAUAAAAUCCUUAUCACGUUACCAUUAAAUUUUGCUUCGCGAUUAGGCAACGGUUCAAUGAUUUCUAAAUCAGAGUACGAUAUAAAUGGCUGGAAACUUGUGAUAGAAAAUUUUAAACGUCCAUCGCUGUUCGCGAAUGAAAUAAUCAAGGGUGUUACACGCGACCUAACUCACCCCUUAUCAUGCGCAAUGAAACAAAACCCCUAUAUUACCUUUGUUUCUCUUGCAUUAAUGAUAAUUCUAACUUUUCCUCAAUUUCCCGUACUUUGUAGAGAAUAUCGAUUACCCCUGAGCCUUAUAGACGUUGUUUAAAGCAAGCAGCAUUGUCCGAGAAAUUACUUUCCGACCAGUGGAAAAAUCAUCGAGGACACGGCCAAUUGACCCGGACACAUCUACAAUCGAUGCUAAUAAUUUCUAUCGGGUAUAGAAAUGAACAAUGUACGGGAUGGUCGAGGAAACAUGAUCGAUUACGUUUAUCAACGUUUCAGACACGGGUUAAGAGAUUAGAGGAAACGUAAGUCGUAUGUAAUCGUUCGUUUUGGACACGGAUACGUAUCUGACUUUGCGAAAUUUCUGUUCAAGGAAAAUCCUAUUUGCGCGGAAAAGUUAUGGCGUUUCGCGUCGGCGAAACGCGAGGAACGUUGGCGAUAAUUUUGUUCAAGUAGUUUGUUCGUUUUAAAUUUAUGUUCCGUGGCUAGAUUUAACUAAAGUUCUCUCGACUGAUCGAUUCGAAUUUGAAUUUUCAAAAGCGGCUCGAACGUGAAAACUUAUUCCAGAAAUAAUGAGAAUGAAAAAUAAGCAAGGAAAUGUAAAGGACGUUAUCUAUUCGUAUUUUUUUUUCACUGCUAACAAAUGGCUUUAUGAAUUAACUCUUUACCUCUGCGAGUUGUUUACGUUCUUUCGAACACACCGCACCCGAUAAACGCGUAACUAAUUCCGACCGUAAACAGGUAAUGAUUAUUCCUUUAUGCGAACUACAUAUAACUGAUCGUGAGUAAUCGCGAAAACGUCUAGAAAACUGAAACGAUUCAUUCGUGCGAACAACGUUGAUAAGUUCGUUCGUAGAAGGAAAAAGGGUUGAUCAACAUCGACAUUCUUUAGAUACGUGUAUGUACAUCGCAGAAAACGCAAGAAAAUCUGUUCACCGUUACCGUCUACUUACACGUCCAGCAAAAUAACAGUUUGCACCGGCUUCAUGUUCGCGCGCAACGUAAAUACUACAAGCCGCAAAGCUCGGUAAGUAGGCAAGAGAAAAGGAGAAAGAGACGGAAAGAGAUACCGAAACAGGCGCAGAGUCUGCAAGAGAGGGAGCAAGAACAAGCUGCAUUAUGGUACGUAGGACUGGGAAAAAUCAACGAUGCAACAACGUUACUGAAAAGUAAAAACCUUGGAAAUUAUUGGGAACGAUAUUUCUGGAAAUCUACAUAACUGAUCGAGUAAAAGUAUGUAUGAAUAAAAAUGUAUCGAUUUAAACGAAUACUUUCACUAACAAAGGUGCAUACUAAUCGCAUAACCUAUAAAUUUUAUGCGGAUAAGUUGAAUAGUAAAUACACAUACAAUUAAGACUUUUACCAUGAGAUAAUGAUUAAGUAAUUUAUUCGCGGUUUGAAUGUCAAAACAGACGGAUUAAAUUGAAAUAUUUAAUAUAAUCUUCCAUUUUAUAAAUUGUGACAAUAACAGCCCUAAUGUACGACGCAGUUGAGAUGUAAGGUUAUUAGGCGAGAGAUUCACAGGUAAACAUUGAGGAUGUGCCAGUAAGUUGGCGUUCGGUGAUAGAACUAUAAAUCUCAUUAAAGAAAACCAUUCAAAUCGUGUUAUUGCAAUAGAACUUUUUGAUCUCAUUUAAGAAAAAUUUGAUUCAAGAUACAUACUUGAUAUUUUGAAGAGGAUAUACCAACGAAGUGUCUUUAUUGUUCACCGCGUUUUUUAAUUCACUUCAUGAAUAACCACUAGCACUCAUAGAAACAGAUCAAACUUUGAACUGUCAGAAUUUCAAUAACGAAUAUCCAAACAGUAUUUGAACGACGGAUGAAAUCCGAAUCGACUGUACCAAGGUCUUGUGAAAGGUGCGACGCCAAAAACUCCGAAUCAAGUAACGGCGCCUACCAUUGCUCGGCCACGUUUAAAGAUUUCUGCACAAUUUACAUUACCGACGGUAUUUGGAAAAAUGUAUCGUCAAAGCCAUAACGAAACUGCGUUAUCCCAUUAAAUGUACCAUGAACGAUAUAUUUAGUGUCACUAACGCGAUUACGAGUGGGCUCAUCCUGUUAAAUGAUCGAGAUACGAUUGAGAACGACUUAUCCUCACCGGACACUAUUUUAAUUUACACUGAUCGAACUAGAGUCUGUAUCUGACGUUUAAAGAAUCGUAGAAGAGAUGCUACGCCAAAAAUACACUAGCAGAGCUGUAACAUAGGUGAGUUGUCGAGUCGUCCAGCUCGUGCUGUUCUCUGGUCAAACCGCUAAGUGCACGUGUACCUAAAGAACUGCAAACACGCGCAUGUGCAGUCGAAAACACACACAGGUGGUUCAGUGGGAUCUCGCCUUUACCUUGUCGCCCUUCGACAGGCGACCGCGAACGACGAUCAAUCACUCGCCCCCAAAAGAACGCGCAACGCACAAUACUUAUAAUUCAAUGAAAUUUUCUCUUACUAUCUUGAAAAUAAUGUUUGCACAUUUAAUUGCAUCCGGUAUAAGGAUCAUUUUACAGUAUGCACGAGAGGCACUCGUAAUGUUGCCUCACUAACGAAACCCACGGAGAAACUACUCGAAAGGUUCGACGCAUCGAAGGAAACGUGGAACACUGGACGGGUAGGAGUUGCAUAGACACGGGCAGGGCCCUGCAGCUUGCAUUAGGUUUUAUGACUGCCAAGGUCAGCUGCUUUCCAUAAGAAUGGCGGCCUCUCAACGACUGCAGCUCAAUUAGCAGAAAAGAACAAGCAUUCGCUUGAUGUGUCAUGACAGUAAUGAAAUUAUCGUCUCCUCGCGUGUGGGCUAUUACCCCGUACUCUAUAAUUCGUUAUCAACGUUGAAACCGUACUGGUAUGUAUGUAUAAAGAACGAAUUUUCUGAUGAUUCAACUCAAUUACAUUCUUACUUCGAUCAUCACAACCUUGUAUACCGAUUGUACACAAACUUUUAGAUAAAAAUUUGAAUCCGGUUGUUAUCAAAAAUAACAGAUGCAUCAGAGCAAUCAGUUUUUAUAAGCAGUCCGUCUGGAUAUGAUAAUCAAAUCAUUAGUUGUUUUCCUGUACAUUGCUGUAUGUAGUUAUACUUGAUUCCACGUCAUUAUUGAUAAUAUUCUGUCAUACAAAAUACAUACGCGUCUCAAACAUUUAUGUACAAUGUUAUAACGAUAAUUUUUUAUCUUAAUUAAAUUGAUAAAAUGUUUGUUCAAAAUCCAUAUUAAGCUGAAAAUAUUCUCGUUAAUUUAACUUGGAUCGCAAUGUCAGGGGAAUAGUCGGAUUCUAAUGCUGCAACUUACAUAAUUAAUUUAAUUUCAUGAAAUUUGGUACUAUGAUGUAUUACAGGCAAUGUAAGCAAUGGUUUCAUGCUUAUUAUUAACGUAUAUAUAACUUCGAAAACAUACACAAUGCAGAUCUGUAAAUCUAAUAGUAAUGGGAUAUAACACUAUAUCGUUAGUGCGUCAAAAUAUUUAAACUAAUAUGUAUAGUAUCGAUACUGUGUUUCAAAACGUUACAUUCGAGAUUGUUACAACGGUAGAAUAGGAACACUCUAAUUGUAUUUGAAGCGUACAAUUACUCUAACUAUUUUAACAGCUUGUAGAAGUCGUAAAUAGAAUGCGCGUUCGAUAGAAAAUUGUGUCGCACAAUUACAGCAUUGACGAGAAAUAAUUUCGGUCUGUUUAUCGCUACAACACCAUUGUCUACGAUAAAAAAUUUAAAGAUAUAUAGCUUAACAAGAUACUAGUAUACAGUCAUUGCAAUAGGAAAAAUUGAGAAAAACAGUAUCGAUACCUGUAGAUCAAGUAUCACCAUACCUUGUUAAAGCACUGGGCAAGUCAACCUUGACAGGCAAUCUUAACUUGUGCAUUUUAUUUCUACGUACACGCACUACUGUAUGUUUUCAGUUUUUAUCACUAAUCAAAACGUGCUAGGGAAGCGUGCGAUUUACGACAGACGGUUGUAAUGGUAAAACAUAACCAACAAAUGUAGUUAGGACUACUUUCUUCGCUUAGACAAUACUUUUUCCAUGGGAGGAUGCAAUGGAAAGGCAAAAACACAUGUAUCAAAACAACACGUAAACUAACCAACAAUACUUCAAAGAGGAAGAAUUCUACUGAAUGACUUUUACAUGGACACUUGGACGGCUAAUGACUCCUUUCUGGCUUGCAAUCUUUCAGGGAUGCUCGAAGACUAGAUCUACGACGCAAACUCAUUUCGCGAUCACUUUAUCAUUUCAAUUUAUACGGCUGCCCGUUCGUUGUUCGUUCACCACACGCACUGUCCACAUUCAUAACGUUUUUAUGAGAUCUACUGUAUCGUACAGUUCCAGAAAAUUGACACUUAAAUAAAAAAAAA